rnacentral:lncRNA from 1 species
AAAAGUCACUGAAGAUAGUUCUGGCAACCCAGCAGCAUGGAAACUCACUGGAGGGCGCAGUGAUGAUCUGAUACUUUGGCUGAAUCCCGAACCGGAGUUUUGACCUUUCUGAAAGGGACGUGGCAAAGCAGAAGCCCAGAGACCUUGGCAUCCACAGCCGUGAAUAAUUGCCUUUUGGCACCUACUGAAUCUAUGAACCAGGCUACCUCUGUUAAUUCUUUCAUGAGUUUUGUUUUCUUUGUUGAAAAGUUGAGAAUGGGACUAUUGACUUGCAUUCUUCGCAGGACCCGGUGAUGCAGUGUAAUUCAGCAGCUGGUACUGGAAGGACCUGGGUUCAAAUCUCAGCCUUGCCACUUACCAGCUGUGUGACCUGGGGCAAGUUACUAAAUCUCUCUGUGCCUUGGCUUUCUCACCUGUAAACUGGAGAUAACGGAGUGCAAAAUAGACUGAAGACUGUGAGGUCUGGAGACAAGGUUUACUAGUGAACUCUUGCAUUCGAACAAGCACUGAAUUGCUAACAAACUAAUCCAAUCCUCCAUUAAGAGCAUUGGUCACAGGGUAUGAAUGAAUGCUUAGCUCUGUGCGAGGAACGACUAGGGAUACAGGGGAACAGAAAACCUGAUUUACGCCCGGAGAUACCAACAAUCCCAUGAGAGGAGACCAGUUGUACCUAGGUGAAACAAGACAACAAAAUCAAGGGUGUGAUGAUUCAAUGCAAAUUCAGGCAGAAGGCUCAGGAGGUACACCCUGCCCAGAGGUGAAGUGCGGCCAGCUAGCUUCUUGGGUACAUUUGUGUAUUUGAUAACCUGUUUGGAAUUAGCCAUACAUUUCCGUCCGCUGGGGCAGGCCAGUCCUAGCCAGGACUCAUAUGUCCUCCGAUGAAACAUUAUUUUGGGGACUGGUGGCUGGCAACCCCUGACCUGGCUUCUGUUCUGCUGGCCCCAUUGGCUGGCUCAUUUCCAGCCUCCGCUUUC